AGGCUGGUCUCAAACUCUCAACCUCAAGGGUCCUCCUGCCUCAGUCUCCCAAAAUGCUGGGACUAAGUUGUGAGCCACUGCGCCACACCACCAUUGUUGUUUUAAGGCACUUAGUGGUGGCUGAUGAGUAGCUGGAGUCAAGAUUCAAACCCAGAACCUGUGUUCUACGUAAUACAGAGUGACCAGCUGUGAGUGUUGGUGGAGGGGUUUUCCUGGGGCUGCCGACUGAGAGGCUGGGCAGAAACAACACAAUUUGUGAGAGCUCUUUUCCGAGCUUUUUCUGAAGUGCUGGUGGAUAUGCAGAGUCAUUCCCAUGAAACUUCAUAAGUGCUUCCAAUGUACUGGAAUUUUUUGUUCUUGAUUCUGACAUCUUUAUCAGCCCUGCCUAACAUUACAUGGCCUUCAAGACAAGGGAAAAAUAACCUUAACACUACCUUAUCCCACCGAAUUUGUGCAGAACAAUUGCCACAGCUGAGAAUCAAGUGACAGUGCUCCCUAAGUACAGUAUUUUACAAUGAAAAGCCUUUGAUAGCCACGGACACUCCUAAUGGUUUCCCAGAGGGAGACACGGAGGGGGACAACACUGCCAGAUGCGAUUCCUUUGGUCCUGAUGGCAUGGGAGGAAACCAUAUGCAUAACUUCUACUCUGCAACACUCUUUUAUCAUGGUGUGUCCAUAGCAUCUUUCUCUUUGUAAUUCAAGCCAUUAGUACAGAGGGAUUCAGCAUCUGUGGCCGUGGGGACACUGUUGGCAGCUUGCCAGAGAUGCAAAGAAGCCACACACAGAGCCCCUCAGUUACUGUACUGCCGGUGCUGCAGAUGGGAAAGGGGUGUGAAGGUGGGAAGAUGGCCCCUGUCCGGAAGCUGUUUGCAGUCUACUGGGAGGGAUAAUGGGUGUUCACACAAACACGGACAAUGCAAGGGUACUAUGGGAAAAAGCCAUCCAUCUGC
rnacentral:lncRNA from 10 species